CAGAUUUACAUGACGCUGAUAAUGACGCCAUUGUGUCUGCCUGUAAGACAUAUUACGAGACAGCACACAGGAGCUUCAGGUAGAAACAACCAGAUGUGGCAUCGCGGGCAGAAGCUAUGAAGAGCUCAGCUCGGAGUCGGUCGAGAAGAAAAGAGGCUGCUGGAAGCGAGACAGUGUGCUGGCUGCGGGUGAGGUGGGCAUUUGGAAGUGCGCCACCAUAGACAUACAGGACAAAGCACCUCAGAUGUCUGCUAAA